GGGUUGUAAACCGCUUUCGCCUGUGACGAAGCGUGAGUGACGGUAAUGGGUAAAGAAGCACCGGCUAACUACGUGCCAGCAGCCGCGGUGAUACGUAGGGUGCGAGCGUUGUCCGGAUUUAUUGGGCGUAAAGGGCUCGUAGGUGGUUGAUCGCGUCGGAAGUGAAAUCUUGGGGCUUAACCCUGAGCGUGCUUUCGAUACGGGUUGACUUGAGGAAGGUAGGGGAGAAUGGAAUUCCUGGUGGAGCGGUGGAAUGCGCAGAUAUCAGGAGGAACACCAGUGGCGAAGGCGGUUCUCUGGACCUUUCCUGACGCUGAGGAGCGAAAGCGUGGGGAGCGAACAGGCUUAGAUACCCUGGUAGUCCACGCUGUAAACGGUGGGUACUAGGUGUGGGGUCCAUUCCACGGAUUCCGUGCCGUAGCUAACGCUUUAAGUACCCCGCCUGGGGAGUACGGCCGCAAGGCUAAAACUCAAAGGAAUUGACGGGGCCCCGCACAAGCGGCGGAGCAUGCGGAUUAAUUCGAUGCAACGCGAAGAACCUUACCUGGGUUUGACAUGGAUCAGGAGUGCUCAGAGAUGGGUAUGCCUCUUUUGGGGGUUGGUUCACAGGUGGUGCAUGGCUGUCGUCAGCUCGUGUCGUGAGAUGUUGGGUUAAGUCCCGCAACGAGCGCAACCCUCGUUCACUGUUGCCAGCACGUUAUGGUGGGGACUCAGUGGAGACCGCCGGGGUCAACUCGGAGGAAGGUGGGGAUGACGUCAAGUCAUCAUGCCCCUUAUGUCCAGGGCUUCACGCAUGCUAC
rnacentral:rRNA from 1 species